AUGGGCUGGCCAGAGGACACAUAGCUCUAAGAACAUCGAGCAUCUAUCUUGAAGGCACACCUCUAACAGAGUCUGUCUGAGAGUUCCAUGCAUGGUGGCACAUUAAGCUGGUCAGUCUUCUGAAAGCAAUUGAUUCACAUGGAAAAGGACUCAGAAAUGAUCCUCUCCGAGUAUGAUCAAAAAACCCAGCUCCUGGAUAUUAUCCAAAAAUGCAGGAAAACAUCCACAUGAAAGGAAUAUUUAUAGAGGCAUUAUCUACGAUAGGCCAAAACUGGAAACCACGGAAGUGUCCAAUAAUGGAAGAAUUAUUAGCAGAGGACAUGCCAGCAGCCAGGGCGUGAGGCAGCUGGUAAGGGGGACUUGCCCAGGCCCAGCCCCGACUGACCACACUGUUUCCUUCCUGAAGGGCCUCAUCCCAGUUCUGUGGGCAGAUCCCAAACUGCUUCUAGAAGACAACUUUGGCCUCGACAGCCAUCCUUCUGGAAAGGGAGAGUGGGCCAGGCUCUCAUUUUCAUAAUAAAAUAGCAGCUUUGCCCUUCACAUGCUUAGCACCCAAAACAAAUAUUCAGGUUGGUGCAAAAUUCCCAUUACAUUUAAUGGCAAAACCCGCGAUUACUUU
rnacentral:lncRNA from 1 species